UCUCUCUCUCUCUCUCUCUCUCUCUCUCUCUCUCUCUCUCUCUCUCUCUCUCUCUCUCUGUGAUUUAUGAGUGUCUCUCGUCCCGCUGUAAUUUAUUAUUGUCGUGUGUCUGGGGCUCAUCAGUCUGUGAAGGACGAUUUUCUUGCUGAAAGAGAAGUAAAGUGAUGGAGGUUUGGGGAGAGAGACUUUCUUCAUGGGCUUCUGUGAAUGUAUAAAAAAGCACUUUUAGGGAAGUAUCUCAUAUCUCUUACAGUAGUUCCCUUCACUUCACCCUAAACCCUGAUUAAAAUCCGCAGGUCUCGUUCCAAAUAAACCUCAGUGUCCUUUUAUUCUCCAUCCCUAGGUUCCGUCCUCUUUGUGCUGUAGAUGCGAACUCCUGAGACGUAGCUUUUCAUCUACAGGAAGUGAACACGGCGAUGGUGAAGACAGAAGAGUUGCAGGCUGAACAGAAAUAGGAAACAUCCAAAUAAGUGACGUUCUAUUGGAGAAGGAGGAGAGUGUCCUGGAGUUCUGGAGGUCAGUGACCUGGAGGUCAGUGUACUGGAGGUCAGUGUUCUGGAGGUCAUACAGUAGAUCUGGAGGUCAGUGUUCUGGAGGUCAGUGUUCUGAAGGUCAGUGUUCUGGAGGUCAGUGUUCUGGAGGUCAGUGUUCUGGAGGUCAGUGUUCUGGAGGUCAGUGUUCUGGAGGUCAGUGUUCUGGAGGUCAGUGACCUGGAGGUCAGUAUUCUGGAGGUCAGUGUUCUGGAGGUCAGUAUUCUGGAGGUCAGUGUUCUGGAGGUCAUACAGUAGAUCUGGAGGUCAGUAUUCUGGAGGUCAGUGUUCUGGAGGUCAGUGUUCUGGAGGUCAGUGUUCUGCCAGCUGUGGGGUUUGUAGUAUUGAUUGCUGGAGUUUUUGUUCUUAAGUCCCAAAACAAAUAUUUUGUCACUUAAUCCAGGAAACAAUUCAGAGUGAGAUGCAGCGGUUCUCCCAGAUGUUUACCUUCAUGACACAGAGUUCCAUCACACUGAAAAUGAGAAAGUGGAGUUUUUGUGUUGACCUUGAAGAGUAAACAAAGGCAAAGAGGUAACUGAACUCAUCCACAGCCGAGAGCGACAGCUGGAAGCAGGGAGACGUUUACAGAGGUGUUAAAGAUACGAUGCUUUGUGUUUUUACAUUUAUUGAGUCUGGCACAUUCUUUCAUCCAGAACUGAACCCGAACAAAACAAAAGCCAGCAGCAGUUUAGCACCUUAAAGGAAGCAUCUGGUAUAUUCUCUUUACUGUGGUUUAGUAUGUGAUAACGUUUAGCUAUCAGCUCUCUCCACAGUCCACUUAAUUAUCAAAAAGGGUACAGUACCAUAAUUAAUAGCAUUUAGCGGCACUGAAAACACUGCCCCCUUCUGGUCCAGGUCGGUAAAACGGUCAACAGAUUGCUGAUAGCUACAGUAUCACUGGCCACUGAUAUUUUUACUUAUUUAUUUAUUUGUUACAUAUGUUACCCUUCUGGGGUAAAACUACAAAUAAAUAAAUAAGUGAAUAAAUAAAAUAAAUAAACAUUUAAACACUAACUAUCUAAAUAGGUCAAGAAUUUUUUACUGAUUAAAAGAUAACUUUAGUUUUUGAUGUGUAAGUAAAAUUUGAGAAUAGAUUUAGACUCAAAAACACACUUUAUGCUUUUAAACUCGAGGCCUUGAGCUGUUCCUGCAUUUACUCUAAAGAAUAGUGAAGCUUAACUUUAGCAGCUGAACGCAGUUAAUAGAGAAACAGGAGACUCGGUAAACCGGUGCAUUAUAACUGCUGAAAUAAAACCGUUUUGUGUUUUAUUGCCCUCAGAUGCUGUGAUUUUAUCAGGAUCUUUUUCGAGCUCAGAUUUCUGCACUAGUUAAAGAAAUAUUUAGUUUUGUGGUUACAGUUGAAACAGGAGGAGCCGUGAGGGAUUACAGCUGUUUUCCUUUGAGCCUGUGCCGCUAAUUGAAGACUUUUGUGGCAACAGGCAUGAAGAGGACACGAUAAACACGUGGCUGACCUCCGGACAUCUAACACCACAUUCCGGCUCGGACUUCAGGGACAGAGGAUUAAUCAUGUGACCGCUUUGUGGCCCGAAACCCAAAUAUGACCCCAUAAAUCACAACAGAGCUGAUGACCUCUGACCUUUAUCCUGGUGUGGCAUCUGGCAAAGAAAACACAAAAAUUAAAAGAGUGAAAUGUGAAUGGAGUGAAGAUGAAGGAUUUUUACCUCAUCAUAAUUUUAAAAGGCAGAAAGACAAGCAGAAACGUGUCGUUUAAACUCUGAUGACUUUAACGAGACGAUGAACACAGCAGCAACACAAAGACAAGAUCUCACACACAACCUCAAGCCCUCAGGGUUCAGUUUCUGUAGCUACACUUUACCUCCUAACAGCAUUAAUAACCACCUUAUUAAUGUUCAUAACCUGUCUCUAAUCUCUAUUCAUGCCCCAUAAGGGCACGAUGACCAAUCAGAACACACUGUACCGCUCUCGUCCAAUCAGAACUCAGCACAUACAAUCCAAACACACUUUCUAAUUAGUUUUUUUAAUCUGUUAUUUUUCUCACAGUCCGAGUCGAUCUUUCUGUAAUCGAAUCUAAAUCCCGGACAUGUUUAAUGCAUCAUGAGAUGCAGAGCGAUUCUUUAAAAUAUGCAACUCACAAAAUCCUCCAAAAAACAAGCAGGAAAACUUCCUCCAAGCAGGAAAAGUGAAGCGAGUAACAGAACAUCUGUCUUAUUUCAUAUCAUCUGAACAUCUGGAUUUGAACUGCAGGAGAUUGUGAGAUUGUGGAUGCUGAAGAGUGAGAGACGGUUUACAGAACAGAACUUCACAUCGUUCCUCCAGCAUCUGGGGUUUGAUCUUCAGUCUAAAUUCAAGCGGCGCAGUUGAAAAGUGGCUUAUUACGACCUUCUAAAUA